CGAGUUAGCUAGGCAAUCGCUGGUUUAUUGAAGCCCUCAACCGUACAAACGACCUAGGGGACAAGUGAACGAGAGGAAAGUCCGAGCUACACAGGGCAGGGUGCUGGAUAACGUCCAGGAGGCGCGAGCCUACGACCAGUGCAACAGAGAGCAGACCGCCGAUGGCUCAUUUGAGAUCAGGUAAGGGUGAAAGGGUGCGGUAAGAGCGCACCGCGUGAUUGGUAACAAUUCAUGGCAUGGUAAACUCCACCCGUAGCAAGACCAAAUAGGAAUCCAAUGUGUGGCCCGCGCAGGAUUCGGGUAGGUUGCUUGAGCAUUUGUGUAAAUAAAUGCCUAGAUGAAUGAUUGUCCACGACAGAACUCGGCUUAUCGGCUAACUCAUUUU
rnacentral:RNase_P_RNA from 1 species